AACGUAGGACGCAAGCGUUAUCCGGAGUUACUGGGCGUAAAGCGCGGGCAGGCGGCCAACCAAGUCUGAUGUGAAAUCUCUUCGCUCAACGGAGAGAGGCCAUUGGAAACUGGUCGGCUGGAGGGCAGUAGAGGUAGGCGGAAUUCCGGGUGGAGUGGUGAAAUGCGUAGAGAUCCGGAAGAACACCGGUGGCGAAGGCGGCCUGCUGGGCAGUAGCUGACACUGAGGCGCGACAGCGUGGGGAGCAAACAGG
rnacentral:rRNA from 1 species